GUCCCUAUCUACUAUCUAGCGAAACCACAGCCAAGGGAACGGGCUUGGAAUCAUUAGCGGGGAAAGAAGACCCUGUUGAGCUUGACUCUAGUUUGGCACUGUAAGAAGACAUAAGAGGUGUAGCAUAAGUGGGAGAUAGGCUUGCUUAUCAACAAUGAAAUACCACUACUUUUAUCGUUUUCUUACUUACUUGAUUAAAUGGAGAAUGCACUUUCAUUCAUACCACUUGUGCAUCGAUUUAUCUUUGUACCUGUGACUAUAUGAUCUUGUGCACUUUUCUUGACCCAAGUGUCAUGAACCGUUGGUACGUUCGUACAAUUGAUGUGUCGCUGGGGAGCAAUCUUUGGUGCAUUGAUUUGGAGUAUUAACAUUAUGGUUAAGACACAAUCCAAGUCAGGGACACUGCCAGGUGGGGAGUUUGACUGGGGCGGUACAUCUCUAAAUAAUA
rnacentral:rRNA from 1 species